GGCCUGAUGGUCUAGUCGUAUGAUUCCUCGUUUGGGUACGGUCAUUGGUCCUGACGACGAGGAGGUCCCGGGUUCAAUCCCCGGUCAGGCCC